AGCGCCAACCUCGUUUCCAGGGCUUUUCCCUUUUUGCCGCCUUCCCAAUGACAAAAAGGGAAAAGCCCUGGGAACGAGGUUGGC